UACGUAGGCAGCAAGCGUUGUUCGGAGUUACUGGGCGUAAAGGGUGUGUAGGCGGUUGUUUAAGUUUGGUGUGAAAUCUCCCGGCUUAACCGGGAGGGUGCGCCGAAUACUGAAUGACUUGGAGUGCGGGAGAGGAAAGUGGAAUUCCUGGUGUAGCGGUGAAAUGCGUAGAUAUCAGGAGGAACACCGGUGGCGAAGGCGGAUCUCUGGGCCUUACCUGACGCUCAGGCACGAAAGCUAGGGGAGCGAACAGG
rnacentral:rRNA from 1 species